CACAUACUCCCUUCGUCCGAAAAUACUUGUUAUAGAAAUGGAUGUAUCUAGAUGUAUUUUAAUUCUAGAUACAUUCAUUUUUUUACAUUUAUGCGACAAGUAAUUUCGGACGAAGGGAGUACUCC
rfam:Hordeum vulgare subsp. vulgare, WGS project CAJW01000000 data, contig: morex_contig_138408